CCUAUAAGCCCAUGGAAGUUACCUGUCGGGUUAGGUUGUUACGGCCAGGUGUUCCCAUGCUUGUUUCAGCCUUUCCCCAGUUGUAACCGUGCCAGCUCAGAGACUUUCUCCCAUACAUUGGAGGAAAUGCCAACCAAUGCAAGAUCGGGAAUCUUUCCCAAACAUUAGGAGAGCUAGCUGGCCCCACAACCAAAGCACUAACAGUCCAACAAUGAUCACUGGACUCUUUGGCUACAGUAAUUUUGGAUAAUGGCACAGCCCUUGAUUAUCUACUGGCUGAAUAAGGAGGAGUCUGGACAAGAGUGAAUACCGCCUGCUACACGUGGAUAAAUUCCUCUGGGGAAGUAAAUACCUACCUGCAUAAAAUCAGAGAAUAAGCACUUUGGCUGCAAAGAAUUCUGCCUAAUGACCUAUGAGCCUUAGAUCUAUUUAACUAUCGAUUUCAUCUUUUUGAAACUAACAAAUUUCUGGAACAGGAAAAGAAAACUCCAACUGGCCUAGACAAAUUCGAGCUCAACCACCAGGGAGACGCCUGCACAGCUGAGCCAUAAAGUGCUGGACGGUUACCUCAACUUCAUUAUAACGUUAGGAUCUCUGCCCUGGGGCAGGAACAUAAGGUUCAUUAACAUAACCUAUGGUGCAUAUAUAGGUAUGUUUUCUAAGUGCACAUGCACAAACCUAUGUUCGCCUUUUAUAUGCAGUGAUGAAACUCCCCCUCUGAAUAUUCAUCUCAAACCCCCAAGUUAAGAGAAUUGGUUCAACCCUUCUUGGAGAGUCAUGGCUUUGGAAGUUAUUCCCCUUGAUCUCCUUAGUUGCUGCAAAUAAAGUUUCCUUUGUGUGACAACUC